GCCCCUGAGAUUAGCUUAGUUGGUUAGAGCAUGGUGCUAGUAACACCAAGGUGACAGGUUUGAUCCCUGUGUGGGCC